ensembl:lncRNA LOC100911253 uncharacterized LOC100911253
GAAAAUUGUCUAUACAAACCCAAAAUGGUUCUCUUGGGCAACCUGCAAAGGACUAGUGGUGGAGCACCCGGUUAUCUCAAGCUGAAAUUCUAUGCCUUACUGCUACACAUACCCUCCUGGGCAGGGAACACAUCACUAAAGAGACUUUAAUAACCUCCAAGUCUACAGGUUUCAGCUUGCAAUGCUUCCCAGACCUCAGUAAAUGGGAGGAGGAGCUGGAGAAGGAAAUGAAGACAAUUUACACUGCGGUCUUGGAGGCUCACCGCUAGGGGCAGAGUGGGUUGUACUCGCCAGGUUAAAACAACUCCCAGACAACCUAUUCACGUGAGAGCUCAAAGCAGCCAUAAUUUUCUGCACUCAAAAUCUUUCCGGUAAGGUUCUCCGCGUAUUGUCUCCUUGGUAAUUGGAAAACAUGGGACUGGGAGUGCAAUUGCAGGGCAUCUCCAGUCCUCCAGGAUACGAUCUGGCUGCUACAGAAGAGGACCAGGAGGAAGCUCUGCUCAGAAAAAGGAUAGAAAGGCAGCAUGGAAACCCUGCUUCAAGGAAACACGAGAUUCACUAUGCUCUUGGCGAACCUCCCGCGAAAAGAGACUUCUAGGUGAGCCACAGUCGUGAGUUUGGAUAACAUGGGAAUAGCUUCCUGGAAAGUGGCGUUCCACUUGCAGUUACUCCAAGAGUUGCAAAAAUAACAGAGGACCUGAUUUCAGAGGAGGGGAGUCUUGCAGAGUCGCGGUAGCUCUGGUCCUGGAGAUUCAGCCAUGCGCACAUUUGUGCGCACUCAGUGCCUGCUGAUUCUGCUGAGCAGCAAACUGUGCACUGCUCAGGCUUCGGAACUUUUACAAAUAAUUCGUAGCCAAAAGGACGUCUUGUGGAAUUGUUAUCUAUGAAGAGGUUAAGGAAAAAUUCAGCACCGAAACCCUAGUCUUGAUUCUGAACACUCUACUUGCUCUGUUUUCCCUUAGGGAGGAAGGAUCCCCAGAGAGGCUCCCUGACCACUGCAAGCACUUCUCAAAGGGCUUGAAGGAGCUCAACGAAAAAACCCCAUUGCUGCCCAAGACUUCUGAGAGCCAAACUGGUAGAUUUGUGCAACCUGCAGUGAAAUUGUCCACACUAUACGCAAAGAUUAAACUCUGUGUCUUUAUAAGCAGGCAGAAAGGAUUCCAGCUUCCUUAGGUGUUCGCUGAUUGGGAUCCAGAAGCCCGCAACAAAUGGAUUCGCUUCCUCCUUUGUGCUUUCUCCUCCAGGGAGGAAGGAUCCCCAGAGAGGCUCCCUGACCACUGCAAGCACUUCUCAAAGGGCUUGAAGGAGCUCAACGAAAAAACCCCAUUGCUGCCCAAGACUUCUGAGAGCCAAACUGGUAGAUUUGUGCAACCUGCAGUGAAAUUGUCCACACCGAUACGCAAAGGUUAAACUCUGUGCCUUUAUAAGCAAGCAGAAAGGAUUCCAGCUUCCUUAGGUGUUCGCUGAUUGGGAUCCAGAAGACCACAGCAAAUGGAUUCGCUUCCUCCUUUGUGCUUUCUCCUCCAGGAUCAGCAGCUGUGGAAAGUGCGAGCCUGGAUCCAUAUUUUCUGCUUCAUCCCUGUGUCUUCAGCUGGCAUUGGUGCAAGGGGAGCUCAGUGACCAAGCGCCCUGAGAUAAUUCUGCCAGAGAACCUCAGUACUGCCCAGGGACUUCUGGAUGUCUGUGCAGUUUUAUAUUCCUUAAGAAGCUCCUUUUCAAAUUGGAUUCUACUUCAGGAAAAACAAAAAAAAAAAAGCCAAAAAGAAAAUGAAUUCACCACUUCAAAAAAUGAAUUGGCGGAGGGAGAGAACCUGGAAGAAGCCUAUCUUGGCAUUCUUGAUACUACACUGCCAUCCAGCGGAAUUACUUUGCUGUACUGCCACCACCUCUAUGAAGCUUUUUCUCAGCCUAUCUGAAAGUGAGUUGUGAGUGCCCAGGACUUCUGGUUCAAAUACUGAAUCAGCAAUCAAUGAACAAAUGAAGGUACGUCCAGCCAACUGACCUGUUCUGGGGUUAGACAGGGUUUGUUUUUGGAGUAAUAAAUUCAGCUACUCGGGAAUUUGGCUCCAGCUGCAGAUGUAGCAGAGGAGAUGGCUUUGCUUGGCAUCAAUAGGAGGAGAUGCCCUUGGUCCUAUAAAGGCUAAAUACCCCAGUGUAGGGGAAUACCAGAGAUUUGAGGUGAGAGUGGGUACAUCCUCAUAGAACCAGGUAGAUGAGGGAGGGGAAUGGGAGGGGAGAAUAACAUUUGAAAUGUAAAUACAUAAAAUAUUCAAUUAAAAAAAACCAGUAGGAUUAAUUCAGAAAGACUGGUGGUCAGAAAAACUCAACCACAUUGUAGUCUCCUGGCAAAGAGAAACCCCAGGGUCAAGGUCAAAAUGACUCCUCCACCAUGUGGUGACUGUUUUAAGUAGGAAGCUGACCUGUUCAACCAGAGGAAUCAUGGGUAGAAUAAGUCCCAACUUUGACAGGUGGCAGAAAUGGAGCUAUAUUCUCCUAGACUUCAGAGUAAGCUAGCUGUGUGUUCCUGUGUUUUACACUUGCAUCUCAAGAUGUCCUCUGCAGAGGAAGCAAGGUCAUAGAGUAUCCAGAAUCCAUGGCAAAGUCUCUUGCCUCUAGUAGGUUGGAAGACAUUACUAAACUCAGACACAGGAACAUGGUUAGUCUACAGUGUAAGUCUUUUAGAGACUCAACCUCUGCAUAGAAUAGAUGGGUACACCUGACAGGCAGUGCUCAGAUCACUGAGCAGUGACAUUCUGUUCCGUUGGGAGGUGCAAGUCUUUGUUUUCGAUGCUCUGCCCAAGACCCUUCCCUUGAAAGUGUGUGAAAGGUGCCAGGUCCAGUCUUUAGGUAUGUCUUGCCUUGGGCCAGUGAGAACUUGUAGCAAGACAGUCAGGCACAAGAGCUUCAUCCAUAUCUCCAUAAUGAAAUUUGCUCUACCUCAGAAGCUCCCUCUUGUGUAUCUUAAGGCCUUCUUUCUCAGGGAAAUUACAUGCUUCACAAUAGUCACAAAUAUUAUAAAAUACCCUGGGGUAACUCUAACCAAACGAGUGAAGGUUCUGUAUAUAACAACUUCAAGUCUCUAAAUAAAUAAAUAAAUAAAUAGGAAGAAGAGCUCAGAAAAUGGAGAGAUAUCCCACAAUUAUGAACUAGUAGGCUAAACCUAGUAAAAUGGCCAUCUUAACAAAAUCAGUUUACAGAUUAAAUGCAAUCCCCAUCAAAAUCCCAACACAAUUCAUUAAAAACAUGGAAAAAGCAAUUCUCAAUUUCAUGCUGCACAUGAUUUUUAAAAACCAAGAUCCACAUACAAGUAGUACUAUUUCCCUGUGAGAAAAUGAAAUACGGGCAAAUAUCUUUUCUGGCAGAGGCUGAGUAGGAUAGUGGAAAGUAUUGUUUAUAGACAACGAGAUCAUAAUAUUUUCCAGGAACGGUCAAAGAGAUGGAAUACAGCCAGAACUGAGGAGCUAGUGGGUUGGUAGCAGCUGGGAUAGGCUAACAGUUCUUUGAAAUUUACUAGUUCCCAGUUAGGUUCAAUGGGAGCCUACUGUUUCAUUAGAGUCUGAAAUUGCCUCAACACAAAAUCUCAUGUGAGCAGCCAGUACUGGUGCAUACCUUUAAUCACAGCACAUAGGAGGCAGAGUUAUGCAGAUUUCUUGGAGUUCAAGGUCAGCCUGGUCAACAACACAAGUUUCAGGAGAGCCUGACCUGCUACAGAGAGAAACUCUGUCUCGGAAAACAAAAGGUUGGGGCAAAACAGCUCAUGUGAGCUAUGCAAGAUGGCUGACAGACACAACUGAGUACACAGACAGGGUCCUAGAAUUCUUAGGCUAGGGUCUCAGGGAAAGAAAACCAAAGGGUUCUGAUGACAGUUGUCCUUUCUCCUCUUUCUCCUCUGGUUCUCUUCCAUGGUCUGAGGAACUGGGGCUGUGAAAAUAGAAACAAUCCCUAUGUAUUCUCUACUCUGCACAAGCUGGAGUCUCCUCAUCCUUGGCCAUGUGUGGGAAAUUUCCAAUCUGAGGUCUUUGGAUCCUUAAGCCAAUAGAACAGAAUAGAGAGGAGAGCUGCUAACCAAACACUUCGGUCUUCUUGUCUAAAGAUCUCAACUUAUGGAGUCCAUGACCCUGGAUUUGCAUGGGUGGAUGUUCUGGGCCAUUGCUACAUCAUGGAUGUUUUCCCGGCCUGUGGGUUGUGUGGGGACCUGAUUUGAUGCUGAACCACGGAUUCCAAGUCCAAGACAAAGAGAGCUCUCCCAGCAAAACUCCUGAAGUACAGCAGAAGAAUAAAGGGAAUAAAAAGGAAGCCAAAAGACAGAAAAUACAGAAAGGAAGGGAAGAAAAAAAGCAGAGACAACAGGCUGAGUAUCUAAGAGUGGAAGGAGGGAAGGAAUGAAAAAGAGGGAGUAAUGGAAGUGAGAGUAGGGUAGAGAGUAUGAUGAAUUGAAAGGACUGACAUAUUUUUGACCUCUAGAUGGCAUUUCUCGAGACCCUGAAGCUCAUGAACAAAGUCCAGAAUCUCAUGGGCACUGGCUGAUUCCAAGAAAUGAGAUAUAUAUGCAGAAAGGUAUCUAAAAAACAGGUCAGAGGCAAUUGGGGGAGAUUCCUAACCUUGAUCAGCAAGUUACCCACAUAUCUGUGCCCCAGUUGAUGAAUCCGAAAUAGUGUUCCUCAUCACUGUGCAAACAUGGCCGCCUCGAGAUCACAAAGCCCAUAUUCGCAAGUAGCUGAAUUUAUUACUCAGAGAAGCAAGCUGGCUAACCGCAGAACCUGCCAGUUGGCUCAAGCUACCUUCACUUUAAUAUUUGAACCAGAAGCUGAAGCACUCCUCACCCACUACCAGACUUGCCAAGGAAAAGCUUAUGGAGGUGUUGAUAAGAACAGCAAAGCAAUUCCACUGGAUGGCAGUGUAGUAUCAAGAAUGUGAAGAUACCCUUCUUACAGGUUCUCUCCCUCCGCCCUUCUUGGAGUGAAAAAAAAAAAAAAAACUGAAACAGUUCAACAUAACACUUGACUCUGAUAUAUGUUAGAUAGAAAUUGGUUCCUUAUGUCUACAGUACCUAUUAUCACUGAUCUGACCUGGGUGGUCUCUGUUUCAGUGUAUUAAGAUAUUCUCCCACAAGGACAGGGACCAUCCUCAAGGCAUAAGGGCCAAACAGGAAAACCCAAUGAGGAUCCCUUCCCCUGGAUGCAAGGGUCAGGAGAAGCCAUAGAAACAAACUUCUAGCCAGAGACUUAGUCUGGGGCACAGUACAGCACCAUCAGUUCAGCACUCGAGUUCGCACUAAAUUCGGAACUGCAAAGCUAGAAAGAAGAGUCAGAAGACGCAAUACAUAUAAAUUCUUCAGAAGAAACGGGACCUUGGGCUGAGUACAAGUCCCUCCUGUGCUACCAAGAUAUAUCUAUUCUUCAGUCCUUUGCCCCCAGACAUUUUGAGAGAAAACACACUGAAUUAUUGGUGGGAACAUUAAGAACAGAUCACUUGCUGACAGUAUUGAACCAAGAAGCCAAGGUACCCAUCUUUCAGGUUCUCUCCCUCCACCCUUCUUUGAUAAACAACAACAACAACAACACCACACACACACACACACACACACACACACACACACACACACACACACAUUUUGCCAAUAAAUCCCAAGUUGACUGACCUUAAUCAUGGCCUCCUUUGGCCAGAGAUGGGCUUUGGAGCUUCACUGUAUACAUACUGUCUCGGAGGUCACAGGCCACACAAGUUCCUCAUUCCCAGUCCAACACAAGAACGUGGCAUGCCCUCAGAAACAUACAGGAAAACUAAGAGCAAUGGUCAAAAGAAGGUCUACAAAUACAUUCUUAGGCAGAAACUUGACCUUGGGCAACAUAUGACUCACUCACAUCUUUCCAGAAAUAAUCUGACUGGCCCAUAUGUACAUAACUUAUAACUGGAAUUUUGUCAGUGAGUGCCAAGGUAAACCAUAGAGUGUUCAGUCCUCCCACGGGGAAGAAGAGAUUGUAUAGCCAUUCGACAACCAAGCUUCUAGUUCAAGGCUACCUGAUUCUUCUCCCUACACAUACAUACCAGGCUCCUGACAGGAAAAGUUGGAAGGACAAAUAAGGAAGACAGUUGGAACAAUAGAGACAACCAGCUAUUCAAACAGAGUCAAGGGCCAGUGAUACAUUCAAACCUAGAAGAAGGAGAUGCCAGGUUGUAGUGAAGAAGAAAAAAAAAAAAAAAAACCACACACAAACACACAGAUGCUUUCCUUUUUGAGUGCCCUAGUUCCUUUUUUACAAACCAGAGUCAAAAUAAAAACUACAACUGUCACCCAAACUCUUUGGUCUUCUUGUCCAGAGAACCCAACCUGUGCAUUCCCAGACCUUGUCUGUACUUCCUGUCAGCCAUAUUGUAAAGUUCAUGUGAGUUUUUUGUGUUAAGUCACUUUAUCCUCUAAUGAAACAUUGGGCUUCUAGAAUAUUCACCUGGGAACUAUGUCAAAGAACUGUUAGCCCUACAGAUACUACGUCAGAGUAAAAGGUUGGGAAAAAAGGUCUUCCAAGCAAAUGGUCCCAAGAAACAAGCUGGAGUUGCCAUCCUAAUAUCCAAUAAAAUACACUUUCAACCAAAAGUUAUCAAGCAAGAUCAUCAAGAAUAAAAAUCCACCAUGAGAAAGUCUCAAUUCUGAACAUCUAUACCCCAAAUGCAUGUGCUCCCACAUUCAUAAACUUUACUAAAGCUCAAAACACACAUUGAACCCUACACAAUAAUAGAGACUUAGUCACCCCACUCUCGCAGAACACUGAAACACAAGCUAAACAGAGACACAGUGAAACUAAUAGAGGUCAUGAACCAAAUGGAUUUAACAGAUUCUUUUUUCUUUUCUUUUUUUUUUUCCGGAGCUGGGGACCAAACCCAGAACCUUGCGCUUGCUAGGCAAGCGCUCUACCACUGAGCUAAAUCCCCAACCCUGAUUUAGCAGAUAUUUACAGAACAUUUCACCCUAAAACAAAAGAAUGCACCACUUUUGCAACGCCUCAUGGUACCUUCUCCACAGCUGACCAUGUAAUUGGUCACAAAACAGGCCUCAAAAGAUACAAGAAGGUUGAAAUAACCCCAUGUAUCCAAUCAGAUCACCAUGACCUAAGGAUGGUCUUCAAUAACAACAAAAACAACAGACAACCCACAUACCGAUGGAAUCUGAACAACUCUCUAAUCAAUGAUAAAUUGGUCAGAGAGGAAAUAAAGAAGAAAAAAAGACUUCCUGGAAUUCAAUGAAAAGG